UCAGGGUGUGGCUGAGUAGUUAAGCAUCUCACUUACACCGAGAAGACACCCA
rnacentral:tRNA from 1 species